AUUGAACGCUGGCGGCAUGCCUUACACAUGCAAGUCGAACGGUAACAGGUCUUCGGAUGCUGACGAGUGGCGAACGGGUGAGUAAUACAUCGGAACGCGCCCGAUCGUGGGGGAUAACGCAGCGAAAGCUGUGCUAAUACCGCAUACGAUCUACGGAUGAAAGCGGGGGAUCGCAAGACCUCGCGCGGACGGAGCGGCCGAUGGCAGAUUAGGUAGUUGGUGGGAUAAAAGCUUACCAAGCCGACGAUCUGUAGCUGGUCUGAGAGGACGACCAGCCACACUGGGACUGAGACACGGCCCAGACUCCUACGGGAGGCAGCAGUGGGGAAUUUUGGACAAUGGGGGAAACCCUGAUCCAGCCAUGCCGCGUGCAGGAUGAAGGCC
rnacentral:rRNA from 1 species